AACGUAGGAGGCGAGCGUUAUCCGGAUUUACUGGGCGUAAAGCGCGUGUAGGCGGUUUGGUAAGUCGGACGUUAAAGCUCCUGGCUCAACUGGGAGAGGCCGUUCGAGACUGCCAGACUAGAGGGCAGCAGAGGGAGGUGGAAUUUCAGGUGUAGCGGUGAAAUGCGUAGAUAUCUGAAGGAACACCAGUGGCGAAGGCGGCCUCCUGGACUGUCCCUGACGCUAAGACGCGAAAGCUAGGGGAGCAAACGGGAUUAGAUACCCGCGUA
rnacentral:rRNA from 1 species